rnacentral:lncRNA from 1 species
GCUGAUAUACGCCCGCGACAGCCCCAAACGCUAGAGCAGUUCAACUCCUUGCGGGUCCCCAAUCUCAGGUACUCCCAUUAAUCCUAUCUGAUGCUUCCUAUGAGUACCAGCCUCGCAUGCAUGCUCAGGUUGGUGCUGCUGGAUUGAAUCGGUUAACAUUGGUGCUUUUUCUUGCCAAAGUUGGAUUCAUUGAGCUACACGUCCACGCCUCAAUCACUCAGAACAAGUUGAUUGCUGGAUGGUAACUUCGUUAUAGCUAAACCAUUUUUAUUAGAUUAACUAAAUUGGAUUCCAUUAAUCUUAUUUGUAUAUGUUCCCUUGACUGCAUAAUUAGCAGUUCCGUUUUCGAAUUAAACAACUGGUCCUUUGGUUUGGCAGUGUUUAUCUCUUUUGAUGAUUCUUUUACACUACUGUUUCUGUUAGAUACUAAUUGAGUUUCAGCUUUGAUUUAUUAACAUGCAUGUCCAUUCUAAUAGACAUUCAUUUCAGGUUUGGACCUUUCUUGGUGGAUGUGUCUCCUUACUUCAUCUCUUUUACUUUCAACUUUGUCGCAACCAUAGAGGAUUCUUAAUUUGAUUCUUCUGGUAUGUAUGUGGUUGCAGCACCCUGUUUGAAAUAUAAUAUAUCAUGUUCUCUGCACCGUCGCUGAUUUUCAAUAGUAACAAUUUCGUACUCCUCCAGCACCAUAUUUCAUUAGGAUAAUGUUAUUGCUUCUUGAGGUUUAUUUAUAGACAUGGGAUGUUCUCAAAGUUUAAUCUUAAUAUAGGUUCAUACGGACUCGGUCGGACAAAGCAAUUUCAUUUGAGCAGAAAUGAUACUAAAUCACCUGUCAGUUAAUCCUUUCAUGUAGGAGAACCAUUAUACUAAUCAGAAGAUGCAUGCGUUCUGGCAUCCACUAAGGGUGACCCCUUUUUUAGUUUUGUCACAUAAUGUUAGUUACUCACCUUAGAGAACCCCCUUUUUUAUCUUCUAUAAGGUUGCCUGCUACUGCUAGCGUAUGCAAGUAAAAGCAGCUAUUUGCACCAUCAUUCAUUGCUUCAAACUUCUGUUGAUCAAUUCACACCCAAAAAAACGCUUACUUGACUGGCUACUAUCAAAUCAAAAUUUUAUAAAACGGACAAUCUAGCACUCAUAUGUCAUAUGACAAUUGCAAAUCUCUCACAGUCUAUCGAAGGGAAAAAGGUGUACAUGUUUUUUAGCUUUUACCUUUAUAAAUGUAUAAGUAUCAUGUACUUAUCUACUUGCUUCCUCAACGCCCCCCUUUAUUAUCCUCUCUAACCUAUUACUAUAUAGUGCAGUGUCAAAUAAUAUAGUUCACACUAUUAGAUAAUUAAGAAAAUAUCUGAGUGACCAAAGCAUUGUUCACCCAGUAGGUUGCAAUACACUCUAUGCAUACUUACGCUUUUGUAACAUUGUUGUUCUCGAAUUCUCAAUACCAGUUUGGCAUUUCAUUCUUUCAUUUAUAAGAAAAUCCUUAACGUCAACUAAGUGUCCCGCAACAACGCACGGGGUAUCAUCUAGUUCAUUCAGUUUGACUGUGCGUAAACACUAUAGUGUACAACUAUCAACUUGUUUCACUAUUCAGUUUGUCAUCCAUUCAGCUUACUUACUGGGGCAUAUUUCUUGUGAGAGUUUACUUGAUAGUACAAUAUGUCAGAAGAAACUACCAUUUCUCCGGAAUGAAUCAUUGAUUGCUCUUUAUACACUUACAACUCGGUUUCUUUCAUAUAAGUUCUGAUGCCUUUCUUUAGGUCGAGCUACUGCCCUGUUAAUUAUUGUAACAAACUUUAUCAUUUGCCAGUUUGCACUGUGUUGAGAACUGACCAAUAAGUUUUGUUUGCCAAUUAGCUUUCUGUGUGCAUGCUCUUAAUCCCCAUAUUACUAAUUUCUGAAUCAAACAUUAUUAUUUCUGUCCUCAACAAGUCGCAGCGCUAUGUUCUGUUUUUUGUUUAGUUAGCUCUGUCAAAUAUAAUCAACCUGCCUAUGUUCCAUUUUGCUAUUUGUACUUAGGUAGAAAAAGCUAAAAUCUGUACAUGUAAUGCUGAAGCUAUAUUGGUUGCUUGUUUCUUAAUUUUUUCUUCUAUAAUGAUGAUCUGAAAUGCCACGCAGGUCAUUAUUGGUGGUGCUACUGCUGUUGUUGUGGUUGUUGGAGGUGUUGCUGUUGCAUCUGGCGGAGCUGCCGUUGGGGCCCCAAAAGGUAACCUUCAUCAGCCACAACCCCACAACAAUGGCUCAAGGUUCUGUGCCCUAUCACCCCUCUUUCUAAAUUACUGAAAUGAACCAAGAUCUCAUAUAUUUAGGAACGGAGGUAGUAGUAAGGUUAAAAUAGAAAAGCAAGGGAUGUUUCUAAUUUGGUUAUGCUAGAAUAAUGCAUCAACUCGUGGCAUUCUUGGAUGUUACUCUAAGGUGUCAAAAUGAUAGUAAAACCUAGGCUCUUGCAUGGUUCUUGAAUUAAUUUUUCUAUUUUAUGGCUAACAAAUAUUGCCUAUGUUGAGACUCUAAACAUGUGGAUUUUCCUCUCAUUUAUAGGAAUUCUACCUGAAGAAAUUCGGAGAAAACUUGAAGCCCCAGUUAGCGACUUGCUUUAUAUGUUAUUGACUUGUCAUGCUAAAUUUGUUGAGAAUUUUGAUAUACUAUUGCACAUGUUACUCGAAUGCUGGUAGUUAUGUACAUAUACUCACAAUAUUAUCCGUUGUUUACUUGAAAUGCAUUCUUGGGCUGAAAGUGGCUGAAAAAGUAUAUGCUGUGUUGAUUCUGCGUUGAUUGUGUAUGUCUAUUCUACAAAAGAAGAGGCACGGUCCAAAUGGAAUUAGUACUGAAAUGUCUAUUUGACCUAAUCUAUUUGGGCUUUGAAAAG